AAACCUCAGUGUCUGAAAGGUUUUCCCUCUGCUGCAUGGAAAGAGAAGAUUCUAAAAUCAAUUAAUUGUGUACUGGAUCUUUCAUCAAUAAGACCAACAGCCACAAACGUGUAGGAUACCAGCUAUUUUAUUCUAUCAUACACUCCCUGCCAUGUGAUCAGUUUGCCUCAAGACCACAUCAAUGAAACCAUGAAGCAUGGACCAAAGCCUAUGAACCAAGAGUCAAAAUAAAUAUAUCCUCAAGUUGAUUUUGCUCAGGCAAAACUGAAUCUGUGGAGUCAGCUUUCUAAGGGGGAAAUACCAGAUUUUACCAAACUGAAGAGUCUUCUCCUCCUAUGUUUCAGGGUGUUGUUGCUGUGGGAACCAGAUCCUAGACUCCAUAAAUGGAGAUAUGGAAACAUCCAGCUCUGAAGCAGAUCUAAGGCAUGGCCUUUGGUUGGCUCGUCCUUUGCUUUGAACCUUACUGCUGUGGAUAUCUGUAUGCUGAGAAUGUGUUGCUCUGAUUGGUUAAUAAAUAAAGUGUUGAUUGGCCAGUAGCCAGACAGGAAGUAUAGGUGGGACAAGCAGAGAAGAGAAUUCUGGGAAGAGGAAGGCUGAGGGGAGACGACAGCCUGCCGUCCAGGGAGCAGCAUGUAAAGGCAACAGCCCAUGGACUUGGCCUAUAUCUGCCAGCCUAAGUCCCUCAAACAGUCUGAGGUGAAGAUAGGAGAUCUGGAGCAAUGCCAAAGAGCAUGGAGAAGCUAAAGGAGAACAAAUCUAAGACCUAAGUGAGCACAUCACUCUGGUUCUUCACAAAGAGAAACCCAAACACCACUUCCCAUCACUCAAGUGGACUCAGGAGAUUUUAGGAUCCAUCUGCUGUGUAUGCAAAGGAAGGCAGCACCUGGAAGAAGAGGAUUAUCCACUAGGGAAAGCUGCAGACCCACAUGGAGAGCAUUGUUCUGACAGCACAGUCUCCUCCUUUGCUUGGAGGGGGAAUCCUGGGGCGACAUGCUUCCGGGGCUAUGGAGACUUCAUUCUUUUCUACAGAGUUAAUUUGAAUGCAGAAGCUGCAGAGACACUAGUGCAAAUAUUGUUUCUGGGAAGCUGACUGCAUGCAUUACUGAAGCAGAUAAACAUGCAUAGCACAUAGUAGUAAAGCCCAGUCUUGCAUAUGGUGCACAUAAGUAUUCAUUUGCAAAUAUCAUGGCCUCAGGGGCAGAAUCUGAUCUUCUAAAAACACUUUUUCCUGACCACAUUAAAAUUAACUUGGACCUCUUAUAGAGGGCAAGAAGGAAUUUUUUUUUCUCUGUCUUCUCAUUUUCUUUAUUCACUAUUUAUUACUUUUUGGAGUUACGGAAUAACUGAUGUUUCUAGAAUCCCUCAAAUAGAUAAUUUCUGCUUUUAGCAUCAAACUUUCAUUUUAGAUGGACUAAGUUUGACUUAGUGAUAUUUUCCUGCUACUUCAAUUAUCUUUUUAAAAAUUACUACCCUUAGUUUUUGAGAUUACAACACAAUUACAUCAUUUGUUCCUUCCCUUUCCUCCCUCAAAGCCCUCCCAUAGAACCUUCUUUGCUAUCUUUCAAAUUCAUGCCCCCCUUUCUUACUAAUUGUUGUUACAUUCCUAUAUUUAAAUACAAUCUGCUCAGUCUGUAUAAUAUUUCUUGUACAUACGAUUUCAGGGCUCACCUCUUGGUAUUUGAUAACCAGUUGGUGUGCUUUUCCUUGGGGAAGUCUAUUUCUCUUGCUCCCAGCAUUUCUUAGUUGCCUGCAGAUCUUUGUGUAGGGCGUGUCUAUUAUUGUUGUUCAUAACCUUAUAAAAUAUACAUGAUUCUGAAGGAGCCCAGACAGAGUAUAUGGAGCUGGAAGAUGAUCCAAGCAGGAGAACCACAGAGGAACCAGAUGUCCUUCUCUGUCUUUCCCCAAACAGGUCUAUGGUAUUCUGCUAGCCUCAGUUUUCCUGUCCCAUAAGUAGAGGUCAGUUGUGUUUCGCAUCACAGAGGGAGUAAGAAGGGCUGAUGGAGAGGGAAGGUAUAACAGGAAACAGGGAGUGAGUAGGCAGCAAGUUCAGUGCUAGAAUAAUUUGUUCCUCUUCACAAAGAAGCAAAAGAAAAAUUCUUUUCGUAAUAAUGGCUUUCAGUUUAUUGACGAACACUUAUGAGUGUGAAGAGAUGGAAUAUGUGGGCUGUAACCCCGGUAACCGAGUGGGCAGUGAUGUAGAGAUCCUGAUACACUCAUGGUGAGAGACUGCUACAAAGAACUCAUCUGUACUCUUAAGCUUUUCCCACCUGUAACAGUAAUGUGACUGUGAGCUGACCUGGGGGUCAAGGAAAAGAGCACAGGAUGGUGGGUGAAGAAUCCAGCCUGAUUUAUAUCUGUCAGGAAAGGGGAAAAAGAAUGGAGAAGAAAGAAAAUAUAAAGAUCUGUGAUGAUUUUCAUGAGAUGCUCUUGAGCUGAUGAAGACCACCUCUUCAGUUCUUCCUAGCUGCAGCCAGAACUUAUAUGAACUAGCUGCAUCUCUCUAAGCUACUAUCAGAUGACUACUACCACUGUUAAAACUGGCCAAUGGAUAUAAAGAGAGAAAAUUCCAUCUA